rnacentral:rRNA from 1 species
CACGUAGGAGACGAGCGUUAUCCGGAUUUACUGGGCGUAAAGCGCGGGUAGGUGGGGUCUUAAGUCAUGCGUGAAAGCCCACGGCUCAACCGUGGAAGUGCAUCCGAAACUGCAUCGCUUGAGUCUCGGAGAGGAAGGUGGAAUGCUUGGUGUAGAGGUGAAAUUCGUAGAUAUCAAGCAGAACACCUGCGGCGAAGGCGGCCUUCUGGACGAUGACUGACGCUGAGACGCGAAAGCGUGGGGAGCAAACAGG